UACGUAGGGCGCAAGCGUUGUCCGGAAUUAUUGGGCGUAAAGAGCUCGUAGGCGGUCUGUCGCGUCCGUUGUGAAAACUCGAGGCUCAACCUCGGGCUUGCAGUGGAUACGGGCAGACUAGAGUGCGGUAGGGGAGACUGGAAUUCCUGGUGUAGCGGUGAAAUGCGUAGAUAUCAGGAGGAACACCGGUGGCGAAGGCGGGUCUCUGGGCCGAUACUGACGCUGAGGAGCGAAAGCGUGGGGAGCGAACAGG
rnacentral:rRNA from 1 species